AGACCAAAGCUUUGUUCUGAGCCUGGCGCCUCCCGUGGCAAAAGAACUGUGCCAGGGCACGCGAAUGUUGCAAUCAGAGAGGAGGAUGCACUUUUAUCGGGUGGAUUUGCAGAGAAAGUAAAAACUGCAGAAAAGCCAAAGAGGAACAUGGUUAAAUCACAUUUGAGAACCAAGACGGUAGCUAAGGAAAAAAUGACUGUAAAGGAAUCUGAAGGUUCACAUAGAAGAAUCACAUCCAAGGG
rnacentral:misc_RNA from 1 species